GACGAACGCUGGCGGCGUGCUUAACACAUGCAAGUCGAACGGAAAGGCCCUGCUUUUGUGGGGUGCUCGAGUGGCGAACGGGUGAGUAACACGUGAGUAACCUGCCCUUGACUUUGGGAUAACUUCAGGAAACUGGGGCUAAUACCGGAUAGGAGCUCCUGCUGCAUGGUGGGGGUUGGAAAGUUUCGGCGGUUGGGGAUGGACUCGCGGCUUAUCAGCUUGUUGGUGGGGUAGUGGCUUACCAAGGCCUUGACGGGUAGCCGGCCUGAGAGGGUGACCGGCCACAUUGGGACUGAGAUACGGCCCAGACUCCUACGGGAGGCAGCAGUGGGGAAUAUUGCACAAUGGGCGGAAGCCUGAUGCAGCAACGCCGCGUGCGGGAUGACGGCCUUCGGGUUGUAAACCGCUUUCGCCAGUGACGAAGCGUGAGUGACGGUAAUUGGUAAAGAAGCACCGGCUAACUACGUG
rnacentral:rRNA from 1 species